rnacentral:tRNA from 1 species
GACGGCGUAGCUCAGUCUGGUAGAGCAAGCGGCUCAUACCCGCUCGGCCAGUGGUUCAAAUCCACUCGCCGUCACCA